rnacentral:lncRNA from 1 species
CUCUGACCACAGUAGGGUAUUAUUUUUUACAUAAGAUGUUCAGAAUAAAGAUACAGUUGAAGCAAUAUGACUAACACAUUAGAAACUAAGAAGCUAUUGGCACUUUCCAGAUAGGAGUUGAAAGAAAAUAAUCCAUUCUAUUUACCCGAAAGAUAUCCAGUCACUUUCAUCUUGCUUUAUAUUAAAUGCCAUUUUGAAGAACUACUCAAAGUCCCUUAAAAGAGGAUUUGAUCAGAAGGGAAAGUAUUAAAUAAUGAAUUUCCAUGCUUUGAAUUUUAUGCAUGCCUUCACAUAAAAUAACUUUCUGAUGCAUAAAUCUCUUUUAUCCCAUGCAGAUGCCACAAAAUUUAGACAUGGGUGUUGAGAAAUGCCAACUUGGAAUAUGGGGAAUAAAUCUCGAUACCUGUAGGGCAAUGUAGAAAUAAGAGGACAUUUUGUUUCUCAGGUUUGACACUUAUGUGAUGAUACUGUCUUUACUCAAUAUAAUUGUAGCACUUGGAAGAUCAGUCUUUUAAAAACUGGCCUUAGAAUGAAUUAUUACUUACUCUUAAGAGGUAGGUUUGUUUAAGGACUCUGAUGGGUAUAUGCGUGUAGGAUAAAAAAUAUGCACUCACUGUUUAUGUUUUAUCUCCUAAUUAAUAUACUACCAACAUAGAACAAUAUCUUAUAUACAUAUUUAUAGUUAAAGCAUCUCAGAGGGCAACAGGUUUAAAUACACAUGUUACGAGUGUAUAAACCCUUUGGCGGGACCUCAAACAAAUAAAUCUGUUUAUGCAGAAAAAUAAUAGAUUCCAAUUCAGCUACACAAAAACAAAAUGUAGGUCGCGAUUCUUAUUCUUACUGUCUCCCUGUGCACCAAUUCUUAUCAUUGUCCUUCAAAGUUUUAUGUUUUAAAAUUUGGUUAAUGAGUAUUUUCUCCUGAAUAAGUAAUGGUAAUCCCAUUGCCUCCACCUGGGAUUUUAGGUAGAACUUUAAGGUAGACAUAAGUGAUUAAGUCAUAUUUUUUUUUCAGUUGUUACUUACCCACUGGGGUACUUACUAUGGCUUUAUUUAAUUUUUUCCAGGUUUUUCUUAAUCACGAUAUAGUUAUAUAAUUUCCUCUCUCCUUGUUCCUCCCUCUCCCAUGUUCCCCAUACCUCCUCCCUCCCAAACUGAUAUGGCCUCCUCCUCCUUAAUCAUUGCUAUUACAUAUACAUAUCAACAAGGAAAUCUAGUACAGCAUUCUGAGUCCCUUCACUGUUCCCUUCCAGUGUUCCCUAGCAGUUCCUUAUGUUGACUGACUACUGGAUAUUGGAUAUGUAGUCAGGGACUCAUUUCUAGGAAGACGAAUUCUUCAUCUCUCAGUAGUUUUUAGUUGUCUGCAUCUCUUCAUUUCGAGGUGGGGUCCUGUGAGAUUCUCUCCACCUAUCCUGGGAUAUCAGCUCAUGUUGUUAUUGCUCAGGUUAGUGAGCCACAUUGUAGAGACUGCUGAUACAGCUUCCCUGUCAUAAAUAGCUAUGAGACACAAUCUCAUAGUAGACUCUUACAAACUCAGGUUCGUAAAAUCCUGCCUCCCCCUCUUCCAGGGUCUUCCAUGACCACGGGUACAGGAGUUGUUCUGUAGAAGUAUCAACUUGGGCUGAGGUACUCUGAAUGGUUAUUUACAUUUCAACUUGAAGAUUUCUGUAAUGAUCACUUUCUGCUGCAAAGGAGAUGUUUCUUUAAUGGCAGGAGCUGUCCACAUUUUUUCUGGACUCUAGCUGCAAGUGAAGAUGGUGGAGCUCUAAGGUAGGAAACAGAUCCGAAAUCAGGAAUAUUCCCAAAGGAAGCUAUGGCUUCAUUAUACCUCAUAACUUAUCAUUUUAUUUGAUGUUGGCACACCUGGUUUAUCAGCUUUACACUGUGAAUAAUAAUUUUUUACCUUUUAAUAUCAACAUUCCACAUGUUAGGAUGCCAAGAGGCAUCGAAACAGGCAUACUUCUGGAGAAAAGGCCGUGAAACUCAGUGCUAAACAAAUCAAGAUAUAUUUGAAAAGAAUUACAUCUACCCACAGGAAACUAUUUGAGUUAUAAUACUUAUCCUAUCCAAGAAGUGCAUUUUUUAAAAGUUUAGUUAUUUAAACUUUUGAAAGAGCAAAAAAAAAAAAAAAAGAAUUAUGUGGUUUUAUUCAUUGUUCAAAGAAUGGGAGAUAAAGGAAUUUUACUAGAAAUAGUAGAUAAAAAAGUCUAAAUAUAAAGACUGACUAGGGGUCAGGCAGGAACAGGAUUUACCUACUCUAUUCUCUUCUUUCUUUAUGGAAGCUUUUCUGUUGCCUUAUGCCAGUUAGAAAGCUCAUCGCAUUAAAAUUUAACCAAGAGCAUUUCCUCACGAAGUUUUAGUAAUCAGACCAAUGAUCCAGAAGAAAAGAGAAUCCUGUUUCCAGGUGAGAAAAGAGGAACAUUUGGUCUAAGCGAUUCCAGCAAAUGUCCAACUCUAAUGAAAAGCAUCAUGCAAAAUUGAACACAUCUGAGAUCUGUGUCCAGCUUCGGGGGGCUUGCUGGGGGGCAGCUAACCUUGCAUUGCAGCCAAGAUUUCUGAUCUAGCAUUUUCCUCUUAAAUAACAUUCCCAGGUUGGAGAAUAGGUUUUAUUGUAGUAUUGACUGCCCCCCAAAGCCAUUAAGUUACACUGUUACCUGUGCAUAAGGAACCAGAAACAGGAUGUGGACAAAAUGAGACUUAAGUGGGUUGUCAAAACCCUUGAAAGGGGACAGGAACAUUGAUCGAUACCAAAGGGGAGAUUGAGAGCUUCACUUGGUAACUGGAGCAAGUGUGUGUUUGCAAUGUCUGAGAAGUGGCAGGAGAAAGGCCAUGUGGGGCUGACUGCAGCACCAGAGCUUAAUGUAGUAGGUAAAAUGAAAUAAUUUCCAAAACACUUAGCAUUGAUGUACUUUAAUGUACUGACCUUAUUCUAAUCUAUUAUUAAUUUUACUAUUUAAACUACUAAACUGCUUCUAUAGCAGAAAUUUUAGAGUGUAAAGAAAAUUUUAAAAAAUAUUGAAAUCCUGGAAAUUUAGCAUCAAUAUUUAAUUUUUAGGAAAUAUCCACCU